CACACCGUUACGGGAGAACUGGCGCAAGCCGGUGCCGAAGGAGCAACCGCCCCGGAAACUCUCAGGCCAAAGGACCGCAACGGGACC
rfam:Sulfitobacter sp. CB2047 contig_3, whole genome shotgun sequence.